rnacentral:rRNA from 1 species
CGUUUGUCCCACCUGACCCCAUGCCGAACUCAGAAGUGAAACGCCGUAGCGCCGAUGGUAGUGUGGGGUCUCCCCAUGCGAGAGUAGGGAACUGCCAGGC